AGAAGGGCUUCCGGAGACGCGUUUUCGGGGGCCUUUUUCUUUUGC
rnacentral:antisense_RNA from 1 species